rnacentral:misc_RNA from 1 species
GAUGAAGAACGCAGCGAAAUGCGAUACUUGGUGUGAAUUGCAGAAUCCCGUGAACCAUCGAGUCUUUGAACGCAAGUUGCGCCUCAAGCCAUUAGGUUGAGGGCACGUCUGCCUGGGCGUCACAUAUCGUUGCCUGAUGCCAGUUUCCUCGUGAUGGGUGACUGUGCAGGGCGAAUGAUGGCUUCCCGUGAGCAUUGUUGCCUCAUGGUUGGUUGAAAACUGAGUCCUUGGUAGGGAGCGCCGUGAUAGAUGGUGGUUGAGUGACGAACGAGACCCAAUCAUGUGAGACCCCUACCGAAUUUGGCCUUCAUGACCCACAUGCGUCUUUGGAACGCUCAUGACGAGACCUCAGGUCAGGCGGGGCUACCCGCUGAGUUUAAGCAUAUCAAUAAGCGGAGGA